rnacentral:rRNA from 1 species
GGGUUGUGAGGUUAAGCGACUAAGCGUACACGGUGGAUGCCCUGGCAGUCAGAGGCGAUGAAGGACGUGCUAAUCUGCGAAAAGCGUCGGUAAGGUGAUAUGAACCGUUAUAGCCGGCGAUGUCCGAAUGGGGAAACCCAGUGCAAUUCGUUGCACUAUCGUUAACUGAAUACAUAGGUUAACGAGGCGAACCGGGGGAACUGAAACAUCUAAGUACCCCGAGGAAAAGAAAUCAACCGAGAUUCCCCCAGUAGCGGCGAGCGAACGGGGAGCAGCCCGGAGUCUGAAUCAGCUUGUGUGUUAGUGGAAGCGUCUGGAAAGUCGCAGGGUACAGGGUGAUACUCCCGUACACUAAAACACACAGGUUGUGAACUCGAAGAGUAGGGCGGGACACGUGGUAUCCUGUCUGAAUAUGGGGGGACCAUCCUCCAAGGCUAAAUACUCCUGACUGACCGAUAGUGAACCAGUACCGUGAGGGAAAGGCGAAAAGAACCCCGGCGAGGGGAGUGAAAAAGAACCUGAAACCGUGUACGUACAAGCAGUAGGAGCCUCUUUAUGGGGUGACUGCGUACCUUUUGUAUAAUGGGUCAGCGACUUAUAUUCUGUAGCAAGGUUAACCGUAUAGGGGAGCCGCAGGGAAACCGAGUCUUAACUGGGCGUUAAGUUGCAGGGUAUAGACCCGAAACCCGGUGAUCUAGCCAUGGGCAGGUUGAAGGUUGGGUAACACUAACUGGAGGACCGAACCGACUAAUGUUGAAAAAUUAGCGGAUGACUUGUGGCUGGGGGUGAAAGGCCAAUCAAACCGGGAGAUAGCUGGUUCUCCCCGAAAGCUAUUUAGGUAGCGCCUCGUGAACUCAUCUUCGGGGGUAGAGCACUGUUUCGGCUAGGGGGUCAUCCCGACUUACCAACCCGAUGCAAACUACGAAUACCGAAGAAUGUUAUCACGGGAGACACACGGCGGGUGCUAACGUCCGUCGUGAAGAGGGAAACAACCCAGACCGCCAGCUAAGGUCCCAAAGUCAUGGUUAAGUGGGAAACGAUGUGGGAAGGCCCAGACAGCCAGGAUGUUGGCUUAGAAGCAGCCAUCAUUUAAAGAAAGCGUAAUAGCUCACUGGUCGAGUCGGCCUGCGCGGAAGAUGUAACGGGGCUAAACCAUGCACCGAAGCUGCGGCAGCGACACUAUGUGUUGUUGGGUAGGGGAGCGUUCUGUAAGCCGUUGAAGGUGGCCUGUGAGGGUUGCUGGAGGUAUCAGAAGUGCGAAUGCUGACAUAAGUAACGAUAAUGCGGGUGAAAAACCCGCACGCCGGAAGACCAAGGGUUCCUGUCCAACGUUAAUCGGGGCAGGGUGAGUCGACCCCUAAGGCGAGGCCGAAAGGCGUAGUCGAUGGGAAACAGGUUAAUAUUCCUGUACUCGGUGUUACUGCGAAGGGGGGACGGAGAAGGCUAUGUUGGCCGGGCGACGGUUGUCCCGGUUUAAGCAUGUAGGCGGAUGUUCCAGGUAAAUCCGGAACGUUAUUAACGCUGAGGUGUGAUGACGAGGCACUACGGUGCUGAAGUGACAAAUGCCCUGCUUCCAGGAAAAGCCUCUAAGCAUCAGGUAACAUCAAAUCGUACCCCAAACCGACACAGGUGGUCAGGUAGAGAAUACCAAGGCGCUUGAGAGAACUCGGGUGAAGGAACUAGGCAAAAUGGUGCCGUAACUUCGGGAGAAGGCACGCUGAUAUGUAGGUGAAGUGGUUUACCCAUGGAGCUGAAAUCAGUCGAAGAUACCAGCUGGCUGCAACUGUUUAUUAAAAACACAGCACUGUGCAAACACGAAAGUGGACGUAUACGGUGUGACGCCUGCCCGGUGCCGGAAGGUUAAUUGAUGGGGUUAUCCGUAAGGAGAAGCUCUUGAUCGAAGCCCCGGUAAACGGCGGCCGUAACUAUAACGGUCCUAAGGUAGCGAAAUUCCUUGUCGGGUAAGUUCCGACCUGCACGAAUGGCGUAAUGAUGGCCAGGCUGUCUCCACCCGAGACUCAGUGAAAUUGAACUCGCUGUGAAGAUGCAGUGUACCCGCGGCAAGACGGAAAGACCCCGUGAACCUUUACUAUAGCUUGACACUGAACACUGGUCCUUGAUGUGUAGGAUAGGUGGGAGGCUUUGAAGCGUGGACGCCAGUCUGCGUGGAGCCAUCCUUGAAAUACCACCCUUUAAUGGCUGGUGUUCUAACGUGGGCCCCUAAUCGGGGUUGCGGACAGUGUCUGGUGGGUAGUUUGACUGGGGCGGUCUCCUCCUAAAGAGUAACGGAGGAGCACGAAGGUCAGCUAAUCCUGGUCGGACAUCAGGAGGUUAGUGCAAUGGCAUAAGCUGGCUUGACUGCGAGCGUGACGGCGCGAGCAGGUGCGAAAGCAGGUCAUAGUGAUCCGGUGGUUCUGAAUGGAAGGGCCAUCGCUCAACGGAUAAAAGGUACUCCGGGGAUAACAGGCUGAUACCGCCCAAGAGUUCAUAUCGACGGCGGUGUUUGGCACCUCGAUGUCGGCUCAUCACAUCCUGGGGCUGAAGUAGGUCCCAAGGGUAUGGCUGUUCGCCAUUUAAAGUGGUACGCGAGCUGGGUUUAGAACGUCGUGAGACAGUUCGGUCCCUAUCUGCCGUGGGCGCUGGAGAAUUGAGGGGGGCUGCUCCUAGUACGAGAGGACCGGAGUGGACGCAUCACUGGUGUUCGGGUUGUCAUGCCAAUGGCAUUGCCCGGUAGCUAAAUGCGGAAGAGAUAAGUGCUGAAAGCAUCUAAGCACGAAACUUGCCCCGAGAUGAGUUCUCCCUGACUCCUUGAGAGUCCUGAAGGAACGUUGAAGACGACGACGUUGAUAGGCCGGGUGUGUAAGCGCAGCGAUGCGUUGAGCUAACCGGUACUAAUGAACCGUGAGGCUUAACCUUACAACGCCGAAG